rnacentral:rRNA from 1 species
UGCAAGUAGGACGCACAGUUUAUACCGUAGCUUGCUACACCAUAGACUGUGAGUUGCGAACGGGUGAGUAACGCGUAGGUAACCUGCCUAUUAGAGGGGGAUAACUAUUGGAAACGAUAGCUAAUACCGCAUAACAGUAUGUAACACAUGUUAGAUGCUUGAAAGAUGCAAUUGCAUCGCUAGUAGAUGGACCUGCGUUGUAUUAGCUAGUAGGUAGGGUAAAGGCCUACCUAGGCAACGAUACAUAGCCGACCUGAGAGGGUGAUCGGCCACACUGGGACUGAGACACGGCCCAGACUCCUACGGGAGGCAGCAGUAGGGAAUCUUCGGCAAUGGGGGGAACCCUGACCGAGCAACGCCGCGUGAGUGAAGAAGGUUUUCGGAUCGUAAAGCUCUGUUGUUAAGGAAGAACGAGUGUGAGAAUGGAAAGUUCAUGCUGUGACGGUACUUAACCAGAAAGGGACGGCUAACUACGUGCCAGCAGCCGCGGUAAUACGUAGGUCCCGAGCGUU